rnacentral:rRNA from 1 species
CCUACGGGAGGCAGCAGUGAGGAAUAUUGGUCAAUGGGCGCGAGCCUGAACCAGCCAAGUAGCGUGAAGGAUGACUGCCCUACGGGUUGUAAACUUCUUUUAUAUAGGAAUAAAUUGAGGCACGUGUGCCUUUUUGUAUGUACUUUAUGAAUAAGGUUCGGCUAACUCCGUUCCUGCAGCCGCGUUACUACGUAGGAUCAGAGCGUUAUCCGGAUUCGUUGGGUUUAAAUGGAGCGUAGAUGGGUUGUUAAGUCAGUUGUGAAAGUUUGCGGCUCAACCGUUCAAUUGCAAUUGAUACUGGCAGUGUUGAGUACAGGUGAGGUAGGCGGAAUUCGUGGGGUAGCAGUGAAAUGCGUAGAUAUCGCGAAGAACUCCGAUUGCGAAGGCAGCUUACUAAACUGCCACUGACAUGGAUGCACGAAGGUGUGGGUAUCGAACAGGAUUAGAUACCCCGGUAGUC